ensembl:lncRNA
AAUAAACCUUGGAGGAAUGACUUCAGGAUUUUGUGGGCAAGUUCAUGCAAGUUUUAAAAUCCUAUAUGGUCAUUCUGAUGUGGUGGUCCAUGAAAAUGUGUGUCACAACAAUUGUGUUAAUCUUGGAAGUAACACAAAUCUUUUGUAUACAUUGAUAGGACCGCUUUCACUCAGUGGUUUAUGUCAGCAUGGCAUUGAUCAAACUUUGCUGAGUUGAUUAAUAUCCACUGAUACUGACCAUAGGAAGGGGCUUCCUAGAGCACAGUCAGCUUGCUCAGCCUGUCUAUCUGUAAGUAUAGCAGGUACCCCACUUCCCCCAGUUAGAAGCACUGUGGAUGAGGCCUAAAUGGAUAUCAAUGUAUGUGAAGAAGGCUCAUUCCAUGUGGGCAUGAAUCCUGUUCAACUAGGGGUGUGUGUGGUGUUUGGGUACGUUUUUGCUUUUGUUUUGCCAGAGGGGCAUGAGCAAUGUGUGUUUCUUGGUCUAAGGAUGGGGAUACCUGAGUGUAUUCUUAGAAGUGUCACGACCUACUUGCAGGGUCCUCCCUAGAAGAAGGCAUGCCUCAGUUGGAGGGUUGUGGAGAUUUGCUGGAGGCUCCAGCCACCGGACCCUGCCCAAAGACACCAGAAGCAAAGCCUGGUCCAACUAACGAAGACUCAUUUCCUCCAAAAGAAAGGGUGCCUCAGAGGAAUAACAAAGAAUACGGGAAGACCAAAGAACAGCUGAGAUGAAAUAAACUUCUUUGACAAAAACAUUCCAGCUGAUGUGAAUAGCUGAGUAAAAGCAGUUGGUAUGAGGAUGGGUGCCCACGGUACCCACAAAUAAAAGAAAAAAAAUAAAGAGUAAACACUUAAUAAAAAUCAGAUGUGGCAUGAGUCAAAACUGACUUCCAUCCAGCCCCAAAGGGAUAUCAUCAGGUCCUGAUGAAGAAUUUCCAGUCAGCUCAUGACCAAAUUUAUUUCUGACCUGCCUAUCCAGCUCUCAAUCUUACGUUCUCAAUCAGCAGGCCUGGUUAAAAUUCAGAAGCCAGAGAAGAGACUUUACAAAAUAAGAACUCUUGUUCUAUACUCAGCAGGAAGAAAUCCAAAAUGUGUGGGGUGGGGAGGGGAGCUGGAUUCUUACAUAAAUGAACAAAAAAUAAAAUUCUUCACCAUUCCUAAUUCUUCCUCAUAUUAUAUGUUUUGCCUCACCAGAUGAGAAACUUUCAACCACAUCAUAUAUCUCAUGAGCAACAGUAGAUAGUCAGUUCCAGUCACGGUUUUAUCUUUUCAUCAAGUGUUUACUUGAAGAAAGUAUGGCCAGGAUAGUAAUAUUUAAUCUUGUUAAGUGUUACAUUGAGCUAGAAUACAACAAAAAUGAAUAGAAAAAAAGAAAUGGGAGUAUUGCAGCACCUUUAAUGCUAAUACAUUUAUCUUCAGUAUGAGUUUUUGUGGAUUACAAUCCACUCCACUCUCUGUCAUAUUUGAUUAGCUUUCCAUUGAGAUUGCAGUGUGGCUGUUUUACCAUCAUCCCCUUCCCUUCAGUAAGUCACUGUGGCUUUGGGUGAUUCACUUAAUAUUGUUUAAGCUUAUAAUUUCAC